rnacentral:rRNA from 1 species
AUUGAACGCUGGCGGCAUGCCUUACACAUGCAAGUCGAACGGCAGCACGGGAGCAAUCCUGGUGGCGAGUGGCGAACGGGUGAGUAAUGUAUCGGAACGUACCUUUCAGUGGGGGAUAACGUAGCGAAAGUUACGCUAAUACCGCAUAUUCUGUGCGCAGGAAAGCAGGGGAUCGCAAGACCUUGCGCUGAUUGAGCGGCCGAUAUCAGAUUAGCUAGUUGGUGAGGUAAAGGCUCACCAAGGCGACGAUCUGUAGCGGGUCUGAGAGGAUGAUCCGCCACACUGGAACUGAGACACGGUCCAGACUCCUACGGGAGGCAGCAGUGGGGAAUUUUGGACAAUGGGGGCAACCCUGAUCCAGCCAUGCCGCGUGAGUGAAGAAGGCCUUCGGGUUGUAAAGCUCUUUCGGCCGGGAAGAAAUCGCAUGGGUUAAUACCCUGUGCGGAUGACGGUACCGGCAUAAGAAGCACCGGCUAACUACGCGCCAGCAGCCGCGGUAAUACGUAGGGUGCGAGCGUUAAUCGGAAUUACUGGGCGUAAAGCGUGCGCAGGCGGUUUUGUAAGACAGGCGUGAAAUCCCCGGGCUCAACCUGGGAACUGCGCUUGUGACUGCAAGGCUAGAGUAUGGCAGAGGGGGGUGGAAUUCCACGUGUAGCAGUGAAAUGCGUAGAGAUGUGGAGGAACACCAAUGGCGAAGGCAGCCCCCUGGGCCAAUACUGACGCUCAUGCACGAAAGCGUGGGUAGCAAACAGGAUUAGAUACCCUGGUAGUCCACGCCCUAAACGAUGUCAACUAGGUGUUGGGUGGGUAAAACCAUUUAGUACCGGAGCUAACGCGUGAAGUUGACCGCCUGGGGAGUACGGCCGCAAGGUUAAAACUCAAAGGAAUUGACGGGGACCCGCACAAGCGGUGGAUGAUGUGGAUUAAUUCGAUGCAACGCGAAAAACCUUACCUACCCUUGACAUGUCCAGGAGCCUGAAGAGAUUUGGGUGUGCCCGAAAGGGAACUGGAACACAGGUGCUGCAUGGCUGUCGUCAGCUCGUGUCGUGAGAUGUUGGGUUAAGUCCCGCAACGAGCGCAACCCUUGUCGUUAAUUGCCAUCAUUCAGUUGGGCACUUUAACGAGACUGCCGGUGACAAACCGGAGGAAGGUGGGGAUGACGUCAAGUCCUCAUGGCCCUUAUGGGUAGGGCUUCACACGUCAUACAAUGGUCGGUACAAAGGGUCGCCAACCCGCGAGGGGGAGCCAAUCCCAGAAAGCCGAUCGUAGUCCGGAUCGUAGGCUGCAACUCGCCUGCGUGAAGUCGGAAUCGCUAGUAAUCGUGGAUCAGCAUGUCACGGUGAAUACGUUCCCGGGUCU